rnacentral:tRNA from 1 species
AAAUUCAUAAUUUAAAUUAAAAAUGUUAAAUUGCAAAUUUAUUAAUAUAAUAUUGAAUAUUAUUGAAUUUU